CAGAGGGGCAAUAGUGAUAUUGUUGUUUAUGACAAUGAUGCUGCAAGUAUAAUAUCAUAUGCUCUUAGUUCCAAAGAAUAUGAUGAAUGGGUUGCUGAUAAGUCCAAUGGUUUUGGAAGCUAGAAUUUCAAUGACAAGAGAAAAGAAGA